rnacentral:tRNA from 2 species
GGAGAGGUGCAGGAGUGGCUUAUCUGGCACGCCUGGAAAGCGUGUGUACGGGCAACCGUACCGAGGGUUCGAAUCCCUCCCUCUCCG